rnacentral:rRNA from 1 species
AGCAGCCGCGGUAAUUCCAGCUCCAAUAGCGUAUAUUAAAGUUGUUGCAGUUAAAAAGCUCGUAGUUGAAUUUCGGGACCAAUCUGCCGGUCGUGCCUCCGGUACGCACUGGUUUUAUUGGUUUCUCCCUUCUGACGAACCAUGAUGUCAUUAAUUUGGUGUCAUGGGGAAUCAGGACUGUUACUUUGAAAAAAUUAGAGUGUUUAUAGCAGGCUCACGCUUGAAUACAUUAGCAUGGAAUAAUGAAAUAGGACGUUUGACCCUAUUUUGUUGGUUUCUAGGAUCGACGUAAUGAUUAAUAGGGAUAGUUGGGGGCAUUAGUAUUCAAUUGUCAGAGGUGAAUUCUUGGAUUAUUGAAGACUAACUACUGCGAAAGUCAUUUGCCAAGGUAUGUUUUCAUUAACAAGAACGAAAGUUAGGGGAUCGAAGACGAUCAGAUACCGUCGUAGUCUUAACCAUAAACUAUGCCGACUAGGGAUCGGAUGAUGUUAAUUUUUU